rnacentral:lncRNA from 1 species
GUUGCGCGCGCGCGCGCGCGAACAGGGAGAGAGGGAGAGGGGGAGAGAGAAGAGGACAGGGAGAGCGCAGAGAGGAAAACUGCAGAAAACCACAGGGAAAGUACGGUACCGCCUCAGAUCUUUUCAUUUAAAAAAAAAAAAAAACUUACUUCUAGUUCAUUUUCCCAUCACUCCCGGCUCCUGCCUAACUGGGUCUUGCCGGGGACGUUUGGCAUGGCGCUCUAGCUUUUGUUCCUUUUAAUUCCGCGGCCUCCCUCUCCUCUGCCCGCCGAUUACAGCACCCCGAAGGCUUCCUGCUAACGUCCAAGGGCAGCAAGCUCUGCAGACGGUACCACUGCCGGGCUAAAUUUUUUAUUAAGUGGCACUUUCUUUUCUGCGCAGAUCCAGCAACCUUGUCAAUACUCAUUUUUUUCCAGGACCAGAAGAGACCAGCUUAACUCAGAGCACACUCCCUCCAAGCGGUGCGGACAAGGGGCCACCCCGAGAGUCUUUGGGGGCCGCGGCGGAAUCGGGAGGGAGGAAGUGAGGAGGCAGUCAUCUGGGUCCGAUGUAGCCAAAGGCGUGUGUGUGUGUGUGUGUGU